ensembl:lncRNA
GAAUCAGUCAUUUAUCUAAGGAGCUUUCCUUGAAAAACACUCUUAGGAACCAAGGUCUGGUUGCUGGGGUGCUCACUGUUACUAGGGGAAUGUUGCUUCUAGGUUCUCUCAGUGGACAGAGCAAGGAGAUAUAUGUGUGUAUAUUAACACAUGUGUAUACACAUAUCUAUAAAUUUUUUUUUGAGGAAGAUUAGCCCUGAGCUAACAUCUGCUGCCAAUCCUUGUCUUUUUGCUGAGGAAGACUGACCCUGAGCUAACAUCCAUGCCCCUCUUCCUGUACUUUCUAUGUGGGACACCUGCCACAGCAUGGCUUGCCAAGCGGUGCCAUGCCUGCACUGAGGAUCCAAACCAGCAAAUCCCGGGCUGCCGGAGCAGAAAGUGAGAACUUAACCGCUGCACCACCGGACCGGCCCCCACAUAUCUAUAAAUAUUUUUCUAUCUAACAAUCUGUAUCUAUAUUAAGAUAAAUGGGAGUUCAUACUUAUAUGGCUGUUAACUUUUGUUGAAUAUAUUUUUCUAUCUGUUCUUCAACUUGUAUUAUUUCUAUUGAUCUGUCUUCAAGUUCACUGACUCUUCUCCCUUCUCCAUUCAGUCAUUGAGCUCAUCAGUGAAGAUUUCACUUUUAAUAUUUUAUUUUUUAUAGUCUCCAUUUGCUUCUUUUUCAUAAUUUCUAUUUCUCUGCUGAGAACCUCUAUCUUUUCAUUCAUUUCAAGAAUAUUUACCUUUACCUCAUUGAGCAUGGUUAUAAUAGCUGCUUUGCUUGAUAAUUUCAUAUCUGGGUGAUUUUGAAGUUGGAUCUAUUGAUUGUCUUGUCCUUUGAGAAUUGAUUAGACUUCCCUAGUUCCUGGUAUGUUAUUUUGAGUAGUUUGGGGUGGUAUCCUAGACAUUUUGCAUGUAAUGUUGUGAAACUGUGCAGAAUGAUAUUUUAUUUGAUUGUUUUUGGAAGCAGUUGACGCCGUUAUGCUUAGACUGUGUAUUUUGCUUGCCUUCUGUUGGCGGUUGUUCCAGUCUCGGUGCAGUUUUCAAGACUUGGCUCUGCUGUUUGUGUCCACAUCUUGCACACAUCACUCAGGGGUUAAUCUGGGGCUUGAGUGGAGGUUUAUGUUGUGGUUCACUUCUCAGAGACUUGGCUCUGCUUGUGUGGACCUCUUCUGUGCAUGUGCUGCUCCCCGUGAGCCUGGGACUCCGGUUAGUUUAUACACAGGUGUAAGUGAUGCCCUUUUCCAGUUCUCGCCUCUUCAGGAUUUAUCUCCAUUCUCAAACUUGCAAGGGCCUCUUUUACAUGUUUCUCUAAGGGUUUAACCCUUUGUGCUGUCAUGCGGUUGUGACCAGGUCAGCCUUUGAGGUGACAGAGUUAGCCAGAGAAAAGAGGCAAAAUCACUGGCGAUUUCCCCCACACUCUUCAGACAAUGGGAGGCCCUUCACCUCUUCCUUGGCCAGAGAGCCACGUAAUCGCUCAGGUGCCUGUGCCCCUGCUGAAACUGCAGUACCCAUCAUAACCGGUAUGGUCUUUGGGGUGGGCCAAGAGAGUAAAACAAAACGAAAUGAAACAGGGGUAGGCCCCACUCCCUGACACACAGAGGCAUCCCCUCCCUGCCGUCUGGCUAGAAAUGGGGGGCUUCUCCCAGUGGUUUGCUUCCAGAGCCUGCUGUGCAGUCGCAGGAUUCCACUCACCCUCGGGUGACAGCAAGGAGAUGAAGGCAGAAAAGCAGCCACUGUAAUCGCCCCUUACAGGUGGUUAUUCACAUUUUUACUUCUGUCCCCAUUUGUAUGGCAUUGUUUGCUUUUUCACUUCUCUAGAGUGUUUUAUUUGUAAUCUGCCUGCAAGAGAGAUCAUUUGUAAGGAUCUUGCUCUAUUUUGGCUGGAAACAGAAGUUUAUAAUCACUUCAGAAAUAAAUUUUUUAUGGAUACAUAUGUAAGAAAUGUUUUACAGUUAUUUAUAAAUAUUUUAAAUGCUACCAUUAUAGACCAAAAUGUUAAUAGUGCUUACCUAUAAGUAAUGCCAUUCAUUUUGUAAUUUUCUGUAUUUUCCCAUAUUUCUGUGACUAUAAUUGUUUUACUUGUCUCAUUAAAAAAAACUUAAAG